AGGUUUUGUACAUUAAUUUAACAAAAAAAAGGGGGGGGGUUACAAUUUAGGAUGGAAGGAGAAGAAAUGUACAAAAAGUAAACGAUGGUACUAUAGUAAGCAUCUUUCCCCCUUUUUUUCCAGACUUCCAGGACAUUUCCUUAUUAUGCUAAUUUCUCCCAAGUGACAGUUAAUGAUAUUUUCUAACACUUUUUGGUAUAUAUUUCUGAAAAAAUCUUUAACUGAGGUGGAAGCGGGCAAGGUGGUACGCUGUGAAAUUCUUGAUUGACAAUUCUUUUGCUUCCUGGUAGGUGGAGCCAUUACGCUUAGUAUAAGGACUCAGUUGUAGGCUGAAGGAAGAGGAAGACUUCUGUUAAAAGAACUGCUGGUCUUCGCCCCUCCCCAACAACCUGGCUGUAGUGUGGGACCUCUCCCACUUUGCUGAUGACGUCUUAGCUGGAUCCAUUGUGGGGAGGAGCAGCAUCAGCAGUUCUGAGGGUGAGUAGAGGCUUCCAGGGUUUGGGCCUGGAUUGUAGUGCCUCUCUUUCCCUGCUCUUUCCUUUUCUAGCAAAUGUAGUUAUCCCAGAACUACUUCACACAUGAUACUUCUCUUAAAAAGAAAUACAUCUGUAUAUGGAAAAUAUGAACAUGAUUUCAUCUCAUGUGACACAUAGCACAGAUGUUGCUUUUAUUAACAAUAUUUGCAUGCUAUUCAUAGCAAAUUUCUAUGGUUUGCUUACAGUAAAUAAUUUUAAAUACAGAAUAAAACAUAAAAUCAAAAUCCGUAUAAAUGGAACAAUGAAAGACAAACUCACUGCAACCACUUGUUAUGAAUAGACAUGUUGAGCAGCUUGCUAUAAUUAAAACCCUGUGCAACGCUAUAGAAGUGAUUUCCUGCCUGGGAGAAUUGUCAUGUGUGAACAAAGUGUUGUGAAUUUCUGUUUAGCAUUUUGUCUCUUUCAUGCAGUGUAUUUUCCUCCUACCGGUGUUACUACUGGCAUCUAGGGAGUACUUAGAAAGUUUUCUGUCAUUUUGGUUAAGGAAACAAAUGUGACUGUGAGAAGACCUCAAACAUAAUUAUUAUCAUUUAAAAACAUUGAAAGAAAAAAAUUGGGAAGAAUUGCAAAUGUUUUGGAGGUCUGUUAAGGUAUUAUAGUUUGAAAGCUAAAUAGCUAAGAGUUCAGUGUUGCUUUCUUCAAAAAUUAGUAUCUUGUCAUCUCUCUCUUAAAGCAGUUGGUGGAAUAUCCCCAUUCUGCGUAAUCCUAAUCUUCAGUGGUGCUUUUUAAGAAUUACUACAACAAAGUGGUUAAGAUCAGAGGUAGAGGUAGUGGGAUCACUAUGGGUGCAGCCAAUAUUUGAUGGGGUACAGGGAAUUUCUGGCAUUAGAUACAAAUUUAGACUGUCUUUCCUUCCUCCACCCCCACCCAAGAAGGGCAGAGGUGGAGCUAAGGAGCUAUCUGUGAAAAUCUUGUUCCUCAUGGGUGCAUGGAGUUUCUGAUUGAUCAGUGGUGAAGGCUCUCUUAGUGGCUGCCAUGAGGCCAAUCAAUAGCUACCACUUGAUCAAGAAAAAAACCAUGGUGUUUUGUAUCCCUUUGCGUCUCCCUGUGGGAUCUCAGUGUGGCAUGACUGAGUGGCACUGCACAAUCUACUGGAGAGGGAAGCAUUAUGGUUGGAUCCAACUUGUGGCUGCUUAGAAGUCUUACCCUGUGCUGAGGGCCUGAAUUCCCUCCAUCUAAAGCCUAGCUUGACUGGCAGUGGUGAUGAGAAUGAAGAUGGGUUUUUUCCUUCUGAUUGAGAAGAUAGCCUGAAUCAAACCCACUAAAAGCAUUCCAGUCUGUACUUUAAAAAGUGACCCCUCUCCUCCCUUUUGUGGAAGUGUGUGUGUGCAUGCACACACACAGGCACAAUCAUUCUAUCCUAUAUUGGUUUGGUGGCUGUUCAGCAGUUUCGAGAAAUUAUAGAAAAGUUAAAAAUAGAAAUGUAAAUCAAUGUUUGUUUUUCUUUGCCAGAAGCAGGAAACAGCAGGCAUAGAGGGAGCACCUUGAUUUUCAUGAUGGUGUUUGUGGUGCAGGCAAGCAGGAGGUGAAGUACUUUUCCUGAUGGAGUGGGAAUUGCAUCCAAAUGAGUUGAGGGACUUCUAGGAGGCAAUGUCCAGCUGCAGGGCAACUAAGGGGAUGUAAGGGUAGUGUAGCAAAGGAAAUCAGGGGUCUCCCUUUUCUUUCCCCUACCUUGUAGGAGUUGCUGAGCCUCUGGUGCCUCUGCCUUCUUCCUCUGAUCCUUUUGCACCUGGCUUGGCCACCUAUAUGUCUUUCCAUUGAAGUAAUGGGGCGGAAGAGAGACCUAACACUGGCGCAUAUGAAGAAAAGAAAGUGAAUGUGUAGCACACUCUGUAAGAGUUGACCGGCAACUUGCUUAACAUUUUUUUAUGGAGGUUACAAAUGGUUAUUUACCAAUUUACUUUAAAAUAUAUUCUACAACAAAUAAAUUAAUUUACUUUGAAA